ACCAUGCUAUAUAUCUUAUGAGAUAUCCAAUAGCGAUACUAAUGUUCUAUGCUGCUGUCAUUUCAGUCCGCAUAGUCAUUAUCAAAAUUGGUGUUGCCAUAUCAUUACUACUUUGGUUAAUUCAACGAUCCACUUCCAAGUUCUUUGGUGUCGAGCUGAGCAUGUGGUUAUCUUACAUCUUGGUAUGUCCAUAGGAUACGGUCAUCCUGAUACUCGAUGCGUUGUACCAUGACCGUGACUGUGCCAAGUUCUUCGUGCUUGAGACCAUAGCCAGGGUGCAGUAUCUCGCAUACAGAAGCAGCAGGAUCUUCCUUCAUAUCCUUUAUUGUAGAUCACAUAUUCCUUUGCAUUAAAGAUGCUGGUAAGGAGUAGCAACCAAUCAACUUUGAGUAUGCUAUUUGUAGACAUCUAUACUGACUUCUUCAUUAAACUUUUAUUUGCGUCGAUAGAGUUUCAGCUUGAACUUCUAAAGCAGUCACUGUUCUUCUCAUGGAAUUUGUUUUGCUUGUCAAUCUAUUGAGCGUUGUAUGCUUGGCUGAUUACAUCAUCAUUCAAGCUUUCUUGUGAGAGAUUUUUUUUUUAUUGUAGUCACCUACUGACAUGAUGACUACUGUUUUUCUAGUGGUUUCCAGGUGGUGCUGAAGUCGGCUAGGAGGGACAGCGCCGCGACGACGAGGAAGCGGCCGGGGACAAGGCCCAGGGCGGCAAAGCCAGCCCAAGUAAACUGCUGCCGGCCACCUUCCAGAAAAUUACAGUACCUAUAAAAGUUCAGAGAUGAGCUUCUCUCCUCGCACAUAUCCUACUGGGAGCUUGCCUAUUGGAUAAGUGCCUAAAUCUUUCCACCAUUUGAGCACCCAAGCCAUCAAUUUCUAGAGAAAAAAGAAUUCCAGCAACAAAGGUUCAUUUCUAAACAACUUGUGGUAUGCUUGCAAGUUCUAAUUUCCUUCAAAUGAUUAGAUAUCAAUGCCAUCCAUUCCUUUGUUUCAUCCUAAGCUUGACAUGGUGAUGCCAUUUUUCUUUGUUUAUGAAGGUACAAUAAGUUCAAGAAUAAAUGCAUUGAUGAGUGUAAGUAGUUCAGAAUCGAUUUGAGUGAGGUGCAGCUUCCUCUCAUAUUCUCUUGUCGUGGCAACUUUAUAACUGUUUGUUGAAGAAAAGUAGUUUACAACUAAAGUAGUGUAUAAAGUCAGUCAAGUUUAACUAUUAUGAUCUACUAUAAUCAUUGCUCUUUAACUUCCAGCUACUGGAAUCUUAAAAGUGAGGUUGCUUUCCAACUACAAUUGUAUAAUUUGUAAGUAAUUAUCAUGUCUGAGAAGGGUGAUCAAUCCCUCCUUUUGGAGACAUUUGGAUUUUUUCCACUUUGUUCAUGGGGCUUCUCAGAUUUGCCACUUUGGAGAAUUGAUUCGCAUAAAUGCCACUUAAGUCGUGGAGUCCUUGAUUAGUAUGCCAUUAGCUCCACUUUUAUUCAUUUUAAUUAAUUUUUUCACAUUAUCGGGCUAGUCAAAGACUAACUUACCCCUGUGGCUAUCUACACGUACACACAUCUGGCAUCGAAUCAGCACCUGAACCAUCAAAGCGGGCGCUGCAUGCUGAUAAUAUCGCGUGUGCCAUACCGUCAGUUGACUGGAUGCCAUGCUUCGGCGGUUCUGACGCCGCCGAUCCCCUGGAUGCCUCUUGCCACCGGCUGGACGUCAUGCGCUGCCGAUUGCCUGCAGGCCACGCGCCGUGGAUCGUUCGGUACAGCGGCGGCGGCAUAAACACCACAAAGUCUGCCCCAGGCAGUCGUCCAGAGAACUCUUGCCGGCCGACGGCAGCUCCUCCACGACCACCUCCCUCUGCGUCCUCCCAUCCUCCCGUGACAUGCCCUACCUCCUCCUUAUGCCAAGUGACUGAACAACGACCAGGACGGGCGGCGUGAGUGGUGCCCACAGAUGGUGGUCUGGUGGAACGAGCAGUGUGCGGCUGAGUGGCACGAGCGGCGACUGGAGGCGUCAGCGGGGGCUCUGUCUGGCGACGAGAAAUUUUUGUGGCUCCUUUCACCCUGUCAAACUUAGAUCGAUAGCCAGAUACAAAUACUUAGCACGUGUACUUAGCAUCAGGGGUAGUUUGGUCUUUUCUAAUGCCUAUAAAUGAGGAAAGAAGAAAGAAAUCAAUAAAAGGAGGCAAAUGGCAUGACAAUCAAGGAGUCAAUGUCAUGAGUGGCAAUUUUACGAAGCCAAUCUUGAAAAUGGCAAUUUUGAGAAGCCCGAUAUUGAAAGUAGCAAAUAUGUGAUUUUCUCAUCCGUUUUGGCUACAUGAUGGUAUGAUCCUUUUUUAGUGGAUUUCUUACAUGCCGUCAUGACUUGUUUCACUCAGUUUUAUGUUGAGUGAUCGAGUGUGUAGUGUACUCAUGGUAUCCUGCAGUUUAUGUAAUCCUAUAAAGAUAGGAUUCAUAGUGUUUUUGGAAGGUUGGCUGGUCUUUGGGGUCCCUAAGAAAUGUGUUUGAACGCUGAUUGAUCGGGCGAUAGCGGCGAAGGAAAAAGCAAAAGCACUGCUGUAGUUAAACACUCGAGCUGCAGAUGCAUGUGAUACAUUAUACGGGGGAGGCGACGUUUUUAUGGCUUGGUUUGGUAGGAUUCAAAUGACACUUCUUAGGAAAGACUGCUCUGAUGUAAUUAAGUUUCACCUUCUUAAGUCUGGCUACAUUAAACCAUCAAACUAUAUAUAGAAAAUAAAUGUAUUCUUAUCAUGUAUCCCCUGGAAUCCACAUAACAAGAACAGGAUAUUAAUUGGAUGCUAUGCACUGGACAUUGCGGCACGAUGAUUGGUUCCUUGAUGAAGAUACAAAGGUAUUCCGUUUCUUCAGGUAUUACACAUUUAUGUGGAUCCAGUUUGUUGUAUUUGGAUAUCUCAUCAUGUCCAUUUUUCAUUGUUGUAAUUUCUCCGUUCUAUAAUGUACUACGCAUGUCCUGUCUGUUUGUAAUGCGCUGGCCCAUAUUCUUGCCAUCUAUUCUUAAUCAUCUCCAAGCAGUUGUGUUUAGAAUGGCAUUCUUAUUUUCUGUAAGCAUUUAAUUCAUAGAGAAUUGAAAUCACCUGGUUUGCUUUAGCAUUUAAAAGAGGCAAAGAUAACAUACUGCCUAUGUGGGGAAAAGAUUGGUAUGUUGGUAUUAGCUUUAAAUGUGAUCACUGAUGCUUAUUGGCUGUAGUUGUGGUUUCAGAAGUAGCAUGCUAACAGUCAUCAUAUAUUGGCUAAUUCUGAUGAAGACCAAAAGAAUUCCAAUGAGAGGCAUCAUGCUGAUUCUGAUGUGGAAAUGGAUGAUGCCAAGCCUCCAGAGGACUCUCAAAGGUGUUCUUUUUAUUUGGUUCCUUAGUCGUGGCCUCAUGACGUCUCUUUCAUCAGUCAAACUAAAGCACUUUUUGUCAGCUUGUCUUCGCUUUUUUUCUUCUCAGCCGAUUAUGCUCCAUGGUUGAGUCGUCAUAUCCUUAAUAGAUGUACCACUGCCUAUGAGGGUUCUGAACUCAAAUAAUAUAAUAUAUGCAUGUUUGAUGAUGUGCAACUAAUAGAUCCUAAUGUUAUAGCAUAUAUGCCCAUAUUGAUA